UACGUAGGGUGCAAGCGUUGUCCGGAAUUAUUGGGCGUAAAGAGCUCGUAGGCGGUCUGUCGCGUCGGCUGUGAAAACCCGGGGCUCAACCCCGGGCCUGCAGUCGAUACGGGCAGACUAGAGUGUGGUAGGGGAGACUGGAAUUCCUGGUGUAGCGGCGAAAUGCGCAGAUAUCAGGAGGAACACCGGUGGCGAAGGCGGGUCUCUGGGCCAUAACUGACGCUGAGGAGCGAAAGCGUGGGGAGCGAACAGG
rnacentral:rRNA from 1 species